GUAUUAGUUUAUUACAGUUAUCGUAAAUUAUUUUAAUUUUAAUUUUUGUAAAUUUUCCCAACGGUUUUUUGUUUAUCCAACAAUCGAAUCGACAUGCUGCCAUUUUGAGUACGUUAUUUGUACGUCUAUUCUACAUGUAGAAUUGUUUAGUUGAAGCAAACCAGUGAGUAAAUGUACUGACUUCCUCACAACAGGCUCCAAGCUUAUUACAGACUUUAGUUUACAAUUGGAUAAAUACCUACAAGAUACUGUUGGACAGAAUUAAAACAACAAUGGAAAUUUAAUUCAACAAAACAUUCAGGAUUUUUCAG